AAAAAAAGCAAAUUCACAAAAGGGUACUUUAUCUUCUCUAUGGGAGCUUUCAACAGUUGUGAAAGUUCAUUUAGAUGCACCCCCAUUUCUCUAUCACUGCAAAUAACAACCACUCAAAUCAUUUUAGAGAAAAAAAAAUAUUCAAACAUCAA